GGGACUGGGGGACAAAGCAAAGGAAGAAAGUAGGUUUAAGAGGUCAGAGGACUUCUCUGUCUGGAUGUUGAAGUCAGAUUUACAAUCAUUUUUUAUACGCUUAUCCAUAGAGGGUUGCGGGAGGGCUGGAGUCAAUCCCCGGAUCAUCGGACAAUAGAGGGGUUGUCGUGGCGCAGGGGUAGAGAGGGUGCACUUGGAACCGCAAGGUUGGUGGUUUGAGUCCUUGCUGCCCCAUGUCCCAACUCAGUGUCCCAGAGCAAGACGCCUAACCCCUUAUUGCAAUGUAAGUCGCUUUGGAUGAAAGCGUCAGCUAAAUGACCCCAAGUACACCUUGAGCCAGGUAUAGCCAGGGAGAUCAUGCAAACUCCACAAAGAAGGGCUGCUGGGUUAUUAUGUUAUAUUAAUGCAUAUGACUGAAAUGAUUCAUAAUAUUGAAUAGUACAUAAAAUUACUACUAAUAAUAAUUAUAAUGGCAGCAGCAGAGGAUACAGUACAUCUGGAAAGUUUGCUGAAAUGUUUGCUUUAAUGUAAAACCUUACAGUGAACAUGUAAACUGUUGGAGACUGUCUGAAUUCUUCUUUAUUUAAUUCCAAUAAUGAAGUGGAUUUACAGUUGGUUUGACAAAGGGGAUGUUUUUAAAAUUGAUUUAAAAGGAAGAAACCUUAAGAACAGGAGAAUACAGAACGAACAACAUAAAAGAUGUACAGUACGUUAAAUGACAGAAAUGAUUGAAACAUUGAGUGGUAAGCCAGGGGUAAGGCAGGACCACUGCAGAGCGAACAGCAGCAUGAGGGGUGAGACAAUCAUCAUCCUUUGGAUUGUCAUUUCUUGGUAUAUGAUGUCCUCUCAUUUUCCUCUUCAGAAGCCAAAGCAGCACUUAUUCGCUACAAAAUACCGAAAAUGUUGUCACUCAGUCCCAUAAAAUGAAUUGUAUCCCGUUCAGCUGAAGAUGUCAACUUCAGUAGUUCAUUUGCCCCGGGGCAAACACAUUUUGGUUGCAGAACAGUCCCUAGACAGUAUUUUGUAGAGGAGGUUGUGGGGGUGGGGGAGGGAGAACAUGCCUCAGGGGAAGAAAAACAUGGCGCCGAUCUGGGAAACGAUUAAAUCAAGAUUCCUCCCAACAACACCCCCCCUCUGACACACACACACCCCCUCCAGGGGAAUGGCCUGCCAAGCAGCACAGAGAGAAAGAUGGAGGGAGAGUGAAAUGGAGAAGAAAAUAGAUUAUAAGUGAGAAUGUGCUGGUUAUCUUAAUUAAAUGGAAGUGCAUUUCAUCCUCCUUCUAUUGAUUUCUGCCAGGGGUAGUGUGUGUACUUCAAAGACUGCCUGCUCUAUAAUACUGGUUUGAACGCUGUAUUUUCUACUCAAGGCAGACAUGACUAUUGAUGGCAACAAACUAUUGAGAUAGUAAUUUAAAGGAACAAUAAAGCCUAGCUCUGAGAGACUAUUUGCAGCUGUCAUUCUCCAUUUAGCUCAUGCUUUCAUGCUGUAAAGCCACAUUUAACAGUUAAAUGAAAUAUGAUGUGGAGGAGAGCAUAUUUGCAAAGGUGUUUGUUUGCAUGGAUGCCUUUUUGAUUGUGUGUGUCGGUGUAAUCUGUUAAACAAUGUAUUUACCAUUUUUAUCUGACAGGCUCCACAGAUUGGAGACAUGCAAUGCUUUUCGAUUGCCCUUACUUACCCACCCUCGAACAUUCAUUUUAAUUUUGGAAGGUCAAUCAUUUUUUUGUGCUUCAGGGAAUAAUUAUUUAUGUAUUCUGUAAUUUAAGUGGCCUGCUUUCUGGUUACUUUAUCGUAUUAAUGGGAAUCACAACUCAUUUAAAAAUGAAAAAUUUGCUCUCAAAGGUAUGUACAAGAUGUAUGCAAGAUGCUCUGUCCCAGGACCCUCAUUUCGGUAUAGGACCCCCCUGCCUUAAAAACAAAAGAAGAGGGAGAGCGGAAGUGGAGGGAUCCCGCUAUCGUAAUGGACAGAGUAAAAUUGUGUAAAAGAUUUACUAUACGUUUAAUGGAUCUUAAUUUUUCAUAUAAUAAACUGUAAUAGUAUUAAGUUAAAUUAGUACUACAAAUAAUAAUAGCAGCAACAGCACUGAAAAUAGUAGAAUACAAUUUACUGAUGUUUUUUCUUAUUUGGGAUUUGUUCUUAGGUAAGAACAGAAUUGACACACUCCCAAGAGCACUCUUGCACACAAUUGAGAGCUGACAUAUUGUAAGCAAAAUAAGUAGUUAUACCAUUUUCGUCCAUUCUAAAUUAAUAUGGAAAAUUUCUCUCCUUUAUAAUUUUGCAACUAUUUUUAUUAUUUUACACACAGUUAUAUGUCUGCACUUUAUAAAAGGAUUUUAAAGGACAAUAAGUCAUAAUAACGUCUUUGUGUUAUUUACUUUAUCAUAAUGAUUUAUACAAUUACAGCUUAAUUGUUUUCAGUACUCCAACUCAGGUUUUUAAGCCAGUUCAACAAAUUGUAAAUUUAAACAAGUUUUAAUUAUUUGUCCAACAGUCAAAAUGCAGUGCCAAUUACUGCAGUUCCUCAAACGGCCACUUGAAGCGAUUCAAUUUCCAUUGGACUCCCAUUUUAAAUUGUCACGAUGUACACAGAAAUACAAACGCAUACAUUCUGCUACUAAAUGUUUUGGAAAUUUUUACCUUCGUGAACUGUGUAUGGGGUGUCUUAUUUUUUACUACUUAUCCAUUUAAAUUAUAUUGAGGCUUGAAGUUAUGUAUAAUCUGACUGUACCAGGUCGCAAACUGCGAGCUGUCUGUCUGCUCAGCUGCAUCACUAACCAAUGGAAAUACCAGACGGCAAACUAACCUAAACCAGGCGGUGGAUUAAUACGUUCUGAACAGCCGGAUCACAGACAUGACCUGGACCUCAUCACGCAGUACGUCAGCUCAGCGAACCAACUGGCGGAUGAAUAUCGUUAACCAACGAGACGAUGAACGUGAGUCGGCAUUUGAAAAAUGGCGCGACAUCUCGGAAAAGAAAGAAAGCCUGAGGCCAAAAACUUUCACAGCAAAGGAGUGCGCAAGUGGAUAGCAACAUUCUUGUGCUACGACGUGAGCCCGGCGGACCGUUUCUACUCUCUGGUCCUUGAUCCAAAGCAGGGUCCAGCUGGACGCAGUCGUUGAUGACUUGGUCGCAAGGGUGCUAGAGGUCUACAAAGCUGCAGGCACUAAAGACAUUUUGAACUGCCUCGAGAAAAAGAUGGAUGGGGUUGAUCAUUAUUUGUAAAGUGAUGAAGUCCAUCUCACAUUGCCUUGAAGGUUUUUCUUUUUGUGAAUAUUCUGUCACUGAAUAUUUUGUUUAAAUACAGUAAAGAAGUUGUUAGAUGUCUGCAUGUUAUAAUGUAAAAACUUCAUUUUAAUGCAAGAAAUACAUUUUUGCAACAAGA